rnacentral:tRNA from 1 species
GGUCUAUUAGCUCGGUUGGUUAGAGCGUGGUACUAAUAAUGGCAAGGUCACAGGCUCGGCCCUGUAUGGACCA